GGGACCAUUUAUAACAUUUGCCCUAAAACAAAUUCCAAUAGUUUAAAUUAGAAGUCAAUCCAACUGGAAAUGAAAUUGACUCAUACAAGACAAUUGGAAAAUCCCUCAGUCAGAGUCUUUCCUCAAUAUUUAAUUAUUUAUAGCAUUUAAGAUCUCAGCUACUCCCCCCAAAUCAAUCAAUCUCAGCGUCACUGAGGUAGAAAACUAGAAACCCAACCAUGAAUUCUAUUCAAUGGUCUAUGAUCACUGCAUUGCUCAUCUUCCCGCUUCUUCAUCUCCCCUCUUGCAUUUCCAUUGAUUCCAUUAUUCCAAACCAAACCAUCAAAGACGGCGACGUUUUAGUCUCAAGCAGGAAGCUCUUUGUGCUAGGGUUCUUCAGCCCUGGAAAUUCUGGCAAACGUUACGUUGGAGUUUGGUAUAACAAAGUUCCAGAGCAGACCAUUGUUUGGGUUGCAAAUAGAGACAGCCCUGUCAAUGAUUCCUCUGGCCUUCUAGUGAUCGAUGCAGAUGGAGGCCUUGUCAUAUAUGGAAAGGACAGAAAACUCCCUCUAUGGUCAGCUAAUGUUACUCUCUCUUCUCCAAAAAACUCCAUGGCCAAGCUGUUGAAUACAGGUAACUUUGUUUUGUUUGAGAAUGGCCAGAGCUUGUGGGAAGGGUUUGAUUAUCCCUCAAAUACAAUGCUUCCCUUUAUGAAAAUUGGGCUGAACAGGCGAUCCGGGUUCAACUGGUUCCUAACUUCUUGGAAGUCCCAAGAUGACCCGGGAACCGGGAAUUUCUCAUUUAGGAUUGAUCCAGAUGGGUUUCCGCAGCUGUUUUUGUACAAAGGUCAAGCUCCCUUGUGGCGGGCCGGAUCUUGGAUCGGGCGAUGGAGUGGUGUCCCCGAAAUGACUCCUAAUUUAAUCGGACGACUCAAUCUUCUCAAUGUUAGUUUUGUGAACAAUCAAGAUGAGCUAUCCGUCAUGUAUGACAUUAAGGACCACUCAAUCUUCUCAAGGGCGGUGCUUAAUGAAUCGGGAAUCUUCGAACGGUCCACGUGGCAAGAUCAGGAACACCAAUGGAUCAAGUACUGGUCUACCCCGGUAGAGAUAUGUGACAACUAUGGAAAGUGUGGUCCAAAUAGCAACUGUGACCCUUACAAUGCUGGUGAGUUCGAGUGUACAUGCCUCCCUGGGUUUGAACCAAAGUUGAUCCAUGCAUGGUACUUGAGAAAUGGCUCAGGUGGGUGUGUGAGGAAAAAAGGAGUAUCCGUGUGUAAAAACGGAGAAGGGUUCGUGAAGGUGUCACUAGUAAAGGCACCAGACUCAUCUACUGCACGUGUAAACUUGACCUUGGGUUUGAAAGAAUGUGAAGAGGAAUGCUUACGGGAUUGUUCUUGCAUGGCAUACUCGAGUGCAGGUGACCCGCAAGGAGGGAAUGGAUGCGUGACAUGGUACGGGGACUUGAUGGAUACAAGGACUUACACGAAUGUCACUCAAGAUUUAUAUGUUCGAGUUGAUUCAAUUGAAUUAGCUAAAUACGCAAAGAAGUCAAAUGGUUCUCUUAGCAAGAAGAGAAAGCUGGCAAUUACGAUAACAUCUAUUUUAGUGUUCUUUGUUGUGAUCUCUAUCGCAUAUUGGUCCGUAAAGAUGAAGAGAAAAGGUACGGAAAGACAAAAUAAAUUUUCAUUUGGGGCGAUCACACCUUCAAUUUACUUGGAAGAUUUUCCUAGUAGAACAGAUCCUCAUGAUAGCAGAUUAAAGUCGGAUCUACCUUUCUUUGAUCUAAGCACCAUAUCCGCAGCCACAAACAAUUUCUCUGAUCCAAACAGGCUUGGAGAAGGCGGAUUUGGCCACGUUUAUAAGGGAGUGCUUUCUACUGGAAAAGAAAUAGCCGUGAAAAGACUAAGCAAAAAUUCUGGCCAGGGAAAUGAAGAGUUCAAGAAUGAAGUUUUGCUGAUUGCAAAACUUCAACACAGGAACCUUGUGAGAAUCUUAGGCUAUUGCAUUCAAGAUGAAGAGAAGAUGCUAAUCUAUGAAUACCUGCCUAACAAAAGCCUGGACUCUUUCAUUUUUAAUGAAACGAAUAGGACACUUCUGGAUUGGACAAGACGCUUGGACAUUAUCUUUGGCAUUGCUAGAGGGAUCUUGUAUCUUCAUCAAGAUUCGAGAUUAAGAAUCAUCCAUAGAGACCUAAAAGCCAGCAAUGUUCUAUUGGAUUAUGAUAUGAACCCCAAAAUUGCAGAUUUUGGUAUGGCUAGAAUAUUCAGAGCAAACCAAGUUGAAGCAAAUACAAAUCGCGUGGUUGGAACAUAUGGUUACAUGUCACCGGAAUAUGCGAUGGAAGGACUAUUUUCAGUGAAGUCUGAUGUAUACAGUUUCGGUGUUCUGCUGCUAGAAAUCGUUACUGGCAGAAAGAACACCGGUUACUACUAUGAUAAUCCUGACUCAAAUUUGGUUGGACAUGUUUGGGACUUGUGGAAAGAAGGCCGAGCCUUGGAAAUCAUCGACUCAUCUUUGGGUCAAUCCUACCCCAUAAGUGAAGUUCUACGGUGCAUUCAAAUCGCGCUCCUGUGCGUGCAAGAGUACACAAAUGACCGGCCAACCAUGUCAAAAGUUGUGUCUGUGUUAGGCAACGAUGCAGCUCUUCCUUCACCAAAAAAACCUGGAUUUCUGUUGAAGAGAAGUAACUAUACCAGUGGAGACCCCAGUACUAGUAGUGGAGAUGUUAAUUCCAUAAAUUAUGUUACAUGCACUAUAGUUGAAGCUCGAUAAAGACUGAGGCUCCCUCUAAAACCUAGCUUGUGCGUUAAGCAAAGGUUUAGUAUUAAUUUUUGGGUUCUUGGUUUAAAUUGUGUUAGUGGUAAUAAAAAUCUGAUUACCACUAACACAAUUUAAACUAACUUGACAUUUUUACCCUUAGUCUAAUUAAAAAACUACAUCCAUGCCAUGCCAUGCCUCUCUCUCUCUCUUUCUCCGGUCACGAGCAACACACUCUCCUCCCUCCUUCACGCUCACGGCCCAGAUCCCCAGUGGUCCUCGUCGGCGUCGUCACCGUCCUCGCCGGUCACCAAAACCAACUCUCUCUCUCUUGCCGGCGACUCAUCAUCAGAGCAGUCCUUGCUGUUUCCGCAGCGGUGAAGGCGAUAAGCUCGUCGUCAAUGGCGUCGACGAUCAGAGCCUACUCCAUGCCUUUGAUUCGCAGUGAAAACCCCAAACCCAUCGGAAACCGGCGACUCCAAUUCGCAAUCGGACUCGGAAUCUUGAUCAAUUUCAGUUUCUUCAAAACAGCGAUUCGAUUCGGAGCGAAGGCUAUCGCAAUCAGAACCAACCUCUGCGAUGAACCAACCCCGCCGCUGCUCUCAAAACCGACACGAGAUCUUCCAGCGUUGACAAAGAGAAUCCGCCCUAGCCCAUAUCUGGGACUUCGGCCCAGAAGCUCACCAAACUUGAUUACGGUGGGCAAACCUGGAGUGCAGAGAGCUCAACCACGUCUACAACAAGAACAUGGAAGUCAUGGCGGCCUAAAGUGCUCUAGAAGAGCUGUAUUAAGGGCCUAUGCUGUCAAUGGCAAAACCACCCACAAGGAAUACUCAGCCCAGGUAACUGGUAUGAAUGACUGAUAUACAAAGUAAGGACAUAUUUAUCUUCUGCUUUCAAGGCCCACGUAUCCACCAACUUCUACCAGAAAUAUAUAAGCAAGGAAAGAAUUUUGAAGUUCGCCAGCUGGGAGAUUCCCAGGGCCGAUCAUUGGUCCCAUAUACCCAACAAUAUUCUACAGAUGCUGAUGAUGAGAAUGCAUCUUCAAUGACCUUCUAUACUGAAGAUGGAACAACCACAUCAAUCAAUGCCCAACAGCUUUGACAUGGGUAACCUUUAUAAGGGCCUUUCAUAACAAUUUCUAAACCACUGCUUGUUUCUUAAAGUAUUUUUUUUUCUUAUUUCAUUCUAAAUGAAUUGAAAAGUCAGACGUAUUUGAGCAAAUAAAUUUAACUCAAUGAUUUGAAAUACAGAAUAUCAACCACAAGACUAUUUUAGACAGGAAAGAAAUGAAAAGAA